CUUAACUAAAAUAAGCAAAACCUUGAUGAUCGUUAUGGGAUAGUUUAACAAUACAACAUUGGAGUUUUCACAUUAGCAAAGUUUUUGUUUUUAUUUCCAAGCCAAUGAAAAUUCAUUAUAAGGAAAUUUAGUUGCUGGAUGCCCUGCCAUACUAGGUUAGAAUGAACACAGUCUGAAUUUAGGGCUAUAUCUGAGCUGAUUCUCCGUAGAUGAUCACCUAUGCUCUGUCUUUAGAACCCGGUACUUCCAGGGCUCUUACAGCCACCAGGAGAGCCUUACUAAAUUUAAGCAUUACUCAUUGGAGGUGUUGGACAGUGGUGUCCCUUUUUCUCUUACCUCUUCCUAGAUGAGUUUCCAUUCCCAAUCACCUGUGUUUUUAAGAUCCCAAAUCUACCUCUAGUCGCCAGACUUAUCUUUGAAAAAUUACAGCUCUUUGUUGAGAGCGCUAAACACAGAUGAUAGUACUAAUUGGGACACUUCUGAAUGCUUUUCUUAAGUGAUCUGAGAAACAGUUAAAUAAACUUGUAUGUAGAACAUUCAUGAUUGUUUCCUCAGUCUUCAGCAUGAGUUUUGCUAGAUUAUGUAGGAUACUGGGCUAAUUACUAUAUGAUCAAAAGUUACCAGUUCCAAUACAAACAAAAUCUGCUUGUUCUGAAAAGUGUCAUUAAGGAUUUUUUUGGUUUUGGUUCUGUAUCUUAGAUAUCUUUUGGAUGUAUAUUGGUCUGAAACACCCUUCCAUAUGUGAGGAAUGAAUAUAUUAUGCCUUUUCCAUCUAGAGUGCAAACUACUAAAAGGCACAAAUGUGUAUCCUAUCCGCUUGGAAGGUCUGUUAACUGGGGUUGCCUCAUACCUGAUGCUCAGGAAGCAUUUUCACUGGCUUGGAUAGACUACUUGCCAUCUGUUCUACGAGCAUUCACUGCUGAAUGAAAGGGGAAAGUGAAAGGGGAGAGCAGGAGAGAGGAAGCUGAAAAAAUAAGAGGAAACAGCUGGGAACUGAGGAGGGGGGAGUCUUAUGUAAGGUCAGUGAAACAAAAAGCUAGCAGAGGACAGGGUCAGGCCUUGGGGCUAGAGGGCUAAUUAACUUCUGUCAACUAGUUAAGUAAAGCCUUGUGUGCUUUGUUAAAGAAACUUAGUUCAAAGGAGGAAAAAAUCUUGAGUGAAUCUAACUAGUUCUUUUUGUGUACAGUAGUAAAUAGUUCAAGUCAAAAUCUAUGCUGUCUUCUAAAGAAUUCUGGUCGUCUUCCUUCAGACCUAAUAGAGCUUUCUGCCACUGCUCAGCACCAAAGGGUGAAAAGCUUCAAGUAGUUAUGGAUAGCAGGCCAAUGAAAGGGAGAAGGAGGAGUGCUGACUCAAAAAGAGAGAGCCAUUAAAAUCUGCAUGUAUUAAUAUUCUUACUUUUUGGAGACUUCUGAGGAAACUGAAUUCUUCUGAACUCUGGACUAACCCCAAAUACUUUAUGAAGAAGAAAUUGAAGAGAUGUUUCUAUAGGAGUUUGGGAGACUUCUUGGACUGGAGACACUCGUUUAAUAAUAGCUUGUCUGAUACUCCAGUAGCUGCCGUAGAUGAGGAAAGGCAGAAAACCUUCCUGCCACCACCCCGCGAAGUGCCAGUAGCGGCGACGCCUACACACACGAAGACUUGGAACUGCCGCUGAGGCAGGGGUCACCUCUGUGACAUCUGACGCUGUCCAACCAGAAGUUUAAUUUUUGUUUUCCUUUGGGAGGUGGUGGGGGGGGGACGGGACGCUGCUUGUACUAAAGG